rnacentral:lncRNA from 1 species
AUGUUGGGAGGGACCUAAGUAAGGCUCGAGGUUGUGAUUCACAGAGUGCACUCUGACAGGCCCUAGGGUGAGGCUUGGGUCUUCCAAGUCACUCCCAAGGAAUUUGUCACUGGGCGUGGGACCAGUGUGCAGAGCAGGCCAAGAUCAAGUUAAGUAAGAACUGAGAAAAGGACCCACUGGGCUGGCCAGUGGAUGGUGCUCUGCUCAGGGCUCCUUCAAUGUAAGUACUCCACCUCGAUGCUGCACCUUCCCCCGCCUGCCCUGCCAGCUUCCACAUCCAGCCCUGCCCACUCCUUUCCUUCCUGCCACACUGUUCUGGACACUUAUGUGCAGCAUCUACCAGCUUCUGGCUCAGGGGACUAUACCCCAACGUCCUAUGUCCCCUUUCUGAAACACCUGCUCCUUAGUAUGCAAUGCUGGGGCCAUGGACAGGGCCUUGGAUGGGGUCAAGUGGUUCCUCCUCUCCUGCCAGCAAUCUCAACUUCCCUGGUCUCAGAGGAUAGUUCCCUGGUCUGCUGGAAGGCUAAAUGGCAUCCCACCUCAGGCCUUUGCCCAUCCUCGUCUCGUGGAAGCUGGCUCCUCCUUGCUGCCAUCUCAGCCUGCUGGCCUUGCUGGAUGGACUGCUCGGCCUGGGCACCACGUGCAUCUCUCUCCAGCACAUGUGGUUCUUUAAUUUAUGUGUUAGCGUCCCUCUCACAUGAAUCAAACCCCUGAGAGCCGUCCCCUGGCCCGUCUUGUUCACAUGCUUCCCUGUGACAUGUAACAGGCACAGUGCACGGAACUGAUGGGAGAGGGAAGCGACCUGUCUCCUGCAGACCCCGGCCCAAGGGUGCCUUUUGAUUGUUGUUUUUGUUUGCUGCAGCAUAGGCAGGUGAGGAGAAGUCACUGAGGAGUGCUCCCCAUAGGAAAGGUGCCUGUGAAGGAGGCUGUGGACCCCAAGCUCGGGUGAGGGCUGGAACUCCUGGGCUCUUGUCCCAGAACCCCAGCCCCCUAGGCUGGCUGUCCCCCAUUCCAACAGCAGCAUGUGGAAGCCUCAUAGGUAUUGCACACUGGAUGGACCCUUGAGGUACCAUACCUGCUCCUGCCCUGGGCUUCCCAUAUGACCCGAGACAACACUGCCUACCAGUUGCUCAAAUAAAAAUCUCCAGAUCACAUCA